GGCGGCACUAGCGCGGUGGUCCCACCUGACCCCAUGCCGAACUCAGAAGUGAAACGCCGUAGCGCCGAUGGUAGUGUGGGGUCUCCCCAUGCGAGAGUAGGGAACUGCCAGGCA
rnacentral:rRNA from 2 species